rnacentral:ribozyme from 1 species
ACACAUUCAAAAGAAAGAGAAAAAAAGCGUCGAAGGUUUUUCCCUUUUUUGAUUUACAAAUACACAUCUCAUUCCAACAUUUCAAUAUACACAGAGAGAGAGA